UGCCUAACAGCUAGCCCACCCAAACAAUUUCAACAAACCCCUGUUAAUAACCCCUAAGUACCCCAGUAUUUAUUUUAAACAAACCAUUUUUCCCCCCUAGUAUAGGCGAUAGAAAAGGGCCUACGGCGCAAUAGAGAAAGUACCGCAAGGGAACGCUGAAAGAGAAGUGAAACAACCCAGUAAAGCCUAAAAAAGCAGAGAUCUAAACUCGUACCUUUUGCAUCAUGAUUUAGCAAGUGUAACCCAAGCAAAGCGUACUUUAGUUUGACGUCCCGAAACUAGGUGAGCUACUCCAAGACAGCCUAUCAAUAGGGCGUACCCGUCUCUGUGGCAAAAGAGUGGGGAGAGCUUUGAGUAGAGGUGACAAACCUACCGAACCUAGUUAUAGCUGGUUGUCCAAGAAAUGAAUAGAAGUUCAGCCUUUCAGCUUCUCUUUUCACCUUAGCCUAACCCCUAUUGAUGUAUUAAAGAAACCGAAAGAGUUAGUCAAAGGGGGUACAGCUCCUUUGAAUCAAGACACAACUUUCCCAGGAGGGUAAAGAUCAUAAUAAUUAAAGCUAAAUGUUCUGGUGGGCCUAAAAGCAGCCAUCCCCUUAGAAAGCGUUAAAGCUCAGACAUGUAACCAUACUUCUUAUCCUGAUCACCCAAUCUUAUCCCCCUAACCGUACUGGACCAUCCCAUGCCAACAUGGGAGUGACUAUGCUGAAAUGAGUAAUAAGAGAGCUAUCGGCUCUCUCCCUGCACACAUGUACAUCGGAACGGACAACCCACCGAACCUUAACGGCCCCAAAUAAAGAGGGCAGUGGAUGUUAGACCAAAAAACUAGAAAACUAUCCAAAAACCAACCGUUAAACCCACACAGGUGUGCCCCCAGGGAAAGACUAAA
rnacentral:rRNA from 1 species